rnacentral:rRNA from 1 species
UACGAAGGGGGCUAGCGUUGUUCGGAUUUACUGGGCGUAAAGCGCACGUAGGCGGUUUGUUAAGUCAGAGGUGAAAUCCCGGAGCUCAACUCCGGAACUGCCUUUGAUACUGGCAAGCUAGAGUCCGGAAGAGGUAAGUGGAACUCCUAGUGUAGAGGUGGAAUUCGUAGAUAUUAGGAAGAACACAGUGGCGAAAGGCGGCUUACUGGUCCGGGAACUGACGCUGAGGUGCGAAAGCGUGGGGAGCAAACAGG